rnacentral:rRNA from 1 species
CUACGGGGGGCUCCAGUGGGGAAUAUUGCACAAUGGACGAAAGUCUGAUGCAGCAACGCCGCGUGGAGGAUGACACAUUUCGGUGCGUAAACUCCUUUUAUAUAGGAAGAUAAUGACGGUACUAUAUGAAUAAGCGCCGGCUAACUCCGUGCCAGCAGCCGCGGUAAUACGGAGGGCGCAAGCGUUACUCGGAAUCACUGGGCGUAAAGAGCGUGUAGGCGGGUAGAUAAGUCAGGAGUGAAAUCCUACGGCUCAACCAUAGAACUGCUCUUGAAACUGUCUAUCUAGAAUAUGGGAGGGGUAGAUGGAAUUUCUGGUGUAGGGGUAAUAUCCGUAGAGAUCAGAAGGAAUACCGAUUGCGAAGGCGAUCUACUGGAACAUUAUUGACGCUGAGACGCGAAAGCGUGGGGAGCAAACAGGAUUAGAUACCCGCGUAGUC